rnacentral:rRNA from 1 species
CCAAUAGCGUAUAUUAAAGUUGUUGCAGUUAAAAAGCUCGUAGUUGAAUUUCGGGAUCAGUACGCUGGUCAUGCCUUUGGUAUGCACUGGUGUCACUGGUUUCUCCCUUCUGAAGAUCCGUGAUGUCAUUAAUUUGGUGUCGCGGGGAAUCAGGACUGUUACUUUGAAAAAAUUAGAGUGUUUAAAGCAAGCUCACGCUUGAAUACAUUAGCAUGGAAUA